CCUGAGAAACCCAAAAGAUCGAAAGGGGAGAUUCAUCGUCAGCUCGUUUUGUAUAUACAUAGGUUAUGAUGCGAGUUACCAUUUGUGUGGUAUUGCUCGUACGUACUUGUGCAUUUAUUUGCAAAAUAUGGUCGGCGUGCACUUCUCCCCUAGUAGAACAUCGCGACCCGUUGGAUGUCGGUUUACGUGCCAAGGGCAAAGCCUUUAAUUUUUCUAUAAUCUUAAAGAUCCUUGGUGUAAAUUGACCGGCAGUCCGGCGGUACUCGUAUGGUAUUUAGCCGCAAUUUAAUUUGCGUCCAUAGCCGUCGCAAGUGAGGCUAGUUUUUUGCAGUACGGACUUUGAGCCGUCGCGAAAAUUGGCCAGCUGUUGGCUGUACGGAAAACUCGGACAGGCUAAUAAAUCUACCGGUCGGCGAUGCUACUGCUUUGGGUACUUUCAGGACCCGUCUUGAAACACGGACCAAGGAGUCUAACAUGUACGCGAGUUAUUGGGAUAUUUUGUAAAUUAAACCUAAAAGCGCAAUGAAAGUAAAGGUCGGCCUUGCGUCGACUAAGGGAGGAUAAGUUGUGUUGAGAUACAACUUCGCACUCCCGGGGCGUCUCAUUCUCAUUAUGCGAGGAGGCGCACCUAG
rnacentral:rRNA from 1 species